UCUUCCUCGCCGUGACUCAUCUUGCUGCUUUCCGCUUCGGUCUAGCCCUUCGUGCCUCCCUCUCUCUUGGGUGGGGCUGCUUGCACGGGCAGCCAGGAAGGGCUGGGGCCUGGAAGCGAAUGAGGGCAUCUAUGGGGGGUGGGCUUUUUGGUGAAUAAUAGCCGUUUGUAUUGUCCUCUCCGGCGGGGCGGAGGAGAGCCCGGCUGCCCCGUGGAGAUUAGCAAUGGGAGUCAGCCAAGCCUGGGAGCCCUCUCAUGGCUGCUGAACUCUGCUGCGUUGAAGCUGCUUCAUUUCAGCCGCGUCGUUCUGGGCUCGUGCAAUGAAAUACGUGCCCGCCCUGGGGCCGGUUGGGUUAAACGUGGGGUUGGCCAAAGAGCACUGAGAUAUCAGCAGGAGCAGCAGGGUCUGACUUGAUUUUUCCACUGGAAAAAGACUCUGCCUAGCAGGAACGUCUUGCUGGGAAGAGCUGGAAGAUUCGCGGCGGCUGAGACUCCCGCGUGGCAGCCCGUCUCCUCUGUGGACCGCAAACCUUUGAGCAGCACCCUACAGGAAAACCACCGGGGACGCGGAGAAGUGGCUGCUGAACAGAGAUCAGACACAACCUCGUAUGCGGUUUCACCUUCCUGUGAUGAAAAACAUCUCUCCUAUGUUUCAUUCUGACAUGAAGCUCGGCGCCCCUUGCAUCUCUGUCCGACACCUUCCUGGUCAGACGCUUCUGCCUGAGUUAACUGAGAGCCUCUGAAGGCAUCGGGGACAUCAGAACAGCCGUGGUCAGACGUAACGCUAUCUUGUGACUGGCGGCUUUACCACCUUCAACUCUCCUAUGAGACAUGAACUUUCAUUUCUACCCAGGAGAACUU